UACGUAGGGUGCAAGCGUUGUCCGGAAUUAUUGGGCGUAAAGAGCUCGUAGGCGGUCUGUCGCGUCUGCUGUGAAAACCUAGGGCUUAACUCUGGGCGUGCAGUGGGUACGGGCAGGCUAGAGUGCGGUAGGGGAGACUGGAAUUCCUGGUGUAGCGGUGAAAUGCGCAGAUAUCAGGAGGAACACCGGUGGCGAAGGCGGGUCUCUGGGCCGUAACUGACGCUGAGGAGCGAAAGCAUGGGGAGCAAACAGG
rnacentral:rRNA from 1 species